CGGCGAUGGCCGAGGUUGUCGCGGCGCAUGGCGCUCCGGUCGUCGUGAUGCACAACCGCGCUGCCGUCGAUCCGGAACUCGACAUCAUCGAC
rnacentral:tRNA from 2 species